CAGUAGCCGCGGUAAUGCGAAGGGUGCAAGCGUUAAUCGGAAUCACUGGGCGUAAAGCGCACGUAGGCGGACUUUUAAGUCAGGGGUGAAAUCCCAAGGCUCAACCUUGGAACUGCCUUUGAUACUGGAAGUCUUGAGUUCGGGAGAGGUGAGUGGAACUGCGAGUGUAGAGGUGAAAUUCGUAGAUAUUCGCAAGAACACCAGUGGCGAAGGCGGCUCACUGGCCCGAUACUGACGCUGAGGUGCGAAAGCGUGGGGAGCAAACAGGAUUAGAUACCCCCGUAGUCCCUGUCUCUUAUAA
rnacentral:rRNA from 1 species